AUGGUAUGGUAUAUGAUAUAGUAUUGUUGUUUGCUCGAAUUUCAUGCUGCCCAACUUGACUACCUAAUUCAAAUCAUUUAGAGAAUUGAAACAUCCGAUCUUCUUAAGUACUAUAUGAUUCUCGACUCUCGAAUCUCAAUAACACAGUAAAACUAUUUACCAAGAAAGUGAGUAUGGCCAAAUUAUUUUAUUCCGCUGAACCUCUUGAAAAGUCACAUUCAUAACUUCAAUAUUCUAGAAGAAAUUGAUAUAUAUGUUAGGCUUGACAAUACCUCUUUAUAUAUGCUUUGUACUUUUUAAAGGUGGCUGAUGUCAUUACAUGAGAAAUUGUGUUCGGAAUCAUGAUUUAUCUCUUACAAAACUACGCUAAUCAUUCAUUUACCAUAUUGUUAUAUCUUCUAAGUUAGAUUUUUCGACGUGGAUGUUUUAAGUCAAUAAAACUGGAAUCAAGGAUAUCUUUGUCAUUUACUCAUUAGCUCACAUAGUCUUACUUGCGUGUGGUAGAGAGUUCUUUGUCUCUUUUCAUGUUUGCUCUAUCCAUUUUGUCGAUUCGAAGUAGCUUGAGAUUUCGUUCUUUUGCUAUUUUCCCCUCUGUUUGAUAUCCAUUUCUUUCCCUUUUUUUCUUAGCCUCUCCUUCCUUCAUCGUUGAAUCUGUCGAUUCCUUUGAUUUUUUUUUAACCUUCUUAUUUGUCAGAGACACCUAGAAAUUGAUAUGCUCCCUCUGUUUCAAUUUAUUUAAACCUAUUUCCUUUUUAGUCCGUGUCAAAAUGAAUGAUCUCUUUUCUAAUUUGAAAACAAAUUCACUUUAUGAAUGAUUUACAGCCACAAAAUUCAUAUACAUAUACAUUCAUAUUAUAUAUGUGCGUCUGUGUAGCUUCAUUCUCUAUUUAUCUUUGAGUUUUCUUAGUUCUAUUUCCUUAUAUGUCCUUCACUAGGGUGGAAACCUCAAAUUUAUCCACGGAGCCCUCUGGAGGUAGAGUUGAGUCUGCUUGACGCUCUUCUCCUUUCGAGUGAAUUGCUUCAAUUCGGAUGCCUUUGUUCAAUUCUGGGGAUUGUUUCAUUAGAAAUCUUACAACUAAAACCCCUCUAUCUGAGUAGUGAAAAAUUCUCCACUAAUUAUCUGCUUAGCACUAAGAAACCCCUCUAACUAACUAACCACAGCUAAUUUAAAUUAGUUAAGUACAGGGUGUAACUAUAUACAAGAACUACUAACUGCCUAAUCAGUUGAUCCACUAGCUUCAAGCCUUCAACAGGACUGUAGGUUUGUGACAUUGGUGGCAAGGAGUCAAUGGUUGAAGCCAUUACCAACUUGAAGUUAGCUUCGGAGAAUAGGGACUGCUUAAUCAUCAGUGGAAAAAUUUCACUCUAUCUCUAUUUUUGAAGGUACCCAUUAGAGUUAUUAGAGGAUCGUUUGCCACUCUUGCCAUGAGGACAAACAUCAAGCACACGUGCAAAGGCGCCAUGAGAAUGGAGACAUUUUAAACACCAUAUAUGUUUCACAAUGAUGCGGUAUUAUAGCUCGAUUUGCACUAUAUCAUCUGUAUGUUACAACUUGCGAUGAUUUCAUACUUGUGCUGUUGAGAGGUUGUAUCUAAAUUGUAAAAAAGUUUACAAGGGUGCAGUAGAACCGGGAUACAGUUUGUAAUAACACAGUCCGCCCUUUUGUAUCAUUUGAACAGGCGCAAGUAUUUACCACUAUAGGAAACUAAACAUGCCAUGUAAUAUUUAUGUCUAAUGUUGAAGCUGUGUUCUUA